rnacentral:tRNA from 1 species
GGGGUUGUGGCUCAGUGGUAGAGCACUCACCUAGCACAUGUGAAGCACUGCGUUGGAUUCUCAGCACCACA